GGAUUCCCCUAGUAACUGCGAGUGAAGCGGGAAAAGCUCAAAUUUAAAAUCUGGCGGUCUUUGGCCGUCCGAGUUGUAAUCUAGAGAAGUAAUGCCCGUGCUGGACCGUGUAUAAGUCUCCUGGGAUGGGGCGUCAUAGAGGGUGAGAAUCCCGUCUUUGACACGGACUACCAGUGCAUUGUGGUAUGCUCUCAAAGAGUCGAGUUGUUUGGGAAUGCAGCUCAAAAUGGGUGGUAAAUUCCAUCUAAAGCUAAAUAUUGGCGAGAGACCGAUAGCGAACAAGUACCGUGAGGGAAAGAUGAAAAGAACUUUGGAAAGAGAGUUAAACAGUACGUGAAAUUGCUGAAAGGGAAACGCUUGAAGUCAGUCGCGUUGGCCAGGGAUCAGCCUUGCUUUUGCAUGGUGUACUUUCUGGUUGACGGGUCAGCAUCAAUUUUGACCGCUGGAAAAGGGCCUGGGGAAUGUGGCAGCUUCGGCUGUGUUAUAGCCCCUGGUCGCAUACAGUGGUUGGGAUUGAGGAACUCAGCACGCCGCAAGGCCGGGUUUCGACCACGUUCGUGCUUAGGAUGCUGGCAUAAUGGCUUUAAGCGACCCGUCUUGAAACACGGACCAAGGAGUCUAACAUGCCUGCGAGUAUUUGGGUGGAAAACCCGAGUGCGCAAUGAAAGUGAAAGUUGAGAUCCCUGUCGUGGGGAGCAUCGACGCCCGGACCAGAACUUUUGGGACGGAUCCGCGGUGGAGCAUGUAUGUUGGGACCCGAAAGAUGGUGAACUAUGCCUGAAUAGGGUGAAGCCAGAGGAAACUCUGGUGGAGGCUCGUAGCGAUUCUGACGUGCAAAUCGAUCGUCAAAUUUGGGUAUAGGGGGCGAAA
rnacentral:rRNA from 1 species